rnacentral:rRNA from 1 species
GUAGGUGGCAAGCGUUGUCCAGAAUUAUUGGGCGUAAAGCGCGCGCAGGCGGUUCUUUAAGUCUGAUGUGAAAGCCCACGGCUCAACCGUGGAGGGUCAUUGGAAACUGGAGAACUUGAGUACAGAAGAGGAAAGCGGAAUUCCACGUGUAGCGGUGAAAUGCGUAGAGAUGUGGAGGAACACCAGUGGCGAAGGCGGCUUUCUGGUCUGUAACUGACGCUGAGGCGCGAAAGCGUGGGGAGCAAACAGGGAUUAGAUACCCUGGUAGUCCACGCCGUAAACGAUGAGUGCUAAGUGUUAGGGGGUUUCCGCCCCCUUAGUGCUGCAGCUAACGCAUUAAGCACUCCGCCUGGGGAGUACGGCCGCAAGGCUG